rnacentral:lncRNA from 1 species
UUAUAAAUAUUAUUUAUAAUUAAUUUUAAAAUUUUUUACCGUAUCUUAUGUUACGAUACUCGAUACUGAAAAAAUAAGAUUUCGAUACACAAUACGUAACUUGAUCUAACAACUAUGACUUUUACCAUUUUGACAAUCAUGGUUUAGUUGUGAUUACUUCGAAACUAACCUCAAUUAAUUAUAUUUCUUGGAGUAGAUCUUUGCUUUUGGCACUUUCCAUAUGGAACAAAACGUGUUUCAAGGAUGACACCUCUGAAGCUUGACUUAAAAAAUGAGUUGUAUGUGCCAUGGACACACUGCAACAACUUGAUUGUAGCAUGGUUAUUGGAAUCCAUCUCACCUCCAGUGACUUCAAAUAUAUUUUACAUGAACUCUACAUUGGAAAUAUGGGAAACAUUGAAAAAGAGGUUUACUCACAAUUGAUGACACCAGAAUUUACAACUUGCAAUUUCAACUUUCCAACAUCUUGUAAGGGACCAAGUCUGUAGAUGCAUACUGUCAAAUUUGAAUAGUAUUUGGCAAGAAUUAAGAAAUUAUAUGUCUCUUCCACAUUGUGAAUGUGGAAGUUGUAAUAAGCAAUUCUUUAAGAAAUAUGUUGAUCAGGCACAAAAGAAUUAUAUAUUUUUUUUGAAUGGAAUGAAUGAGUCAUAUGCUACUCUUAGAAGUUAGAUUAUACUGAUUGAACCUUUCCUCAGUUUAGAUGAAGCUUACAAUAUUGUUCUCAGGGAAGAAUCCUAAAGAAAUCUUAUAUACAAACACACCUUUUUAGUGAAGUUUCUGUUAUGGCCACCUAUAUCUAAGGCAAAAAGAAAACCAAGGGAAAUAUACUUUGUAGUCAUUGUGGUAAAACAGGACAUAUUAAAGAAAAAUGCUUUGUAUCAUUAGAUUUCCCAAGGAUUUUAAAUUUACAAAAGGCAAACCUUAUGAUAAAAGAGGAAUGCAUUUUGUUAAUAGUGUUUCUACAAAUUCUAUUAAUGAGUCACGCCAUAAUGAGGAAGACACAAUGAAUGCCAUUUCUAAAAUUUCUUUGAUAAAGAACUAAGUUCAAAGGUUUAUGUCAUGGAUCCAAGAGUGUGAAACAAGUUGUCAUGGUGAUAAUCCACUGAAACCAAACAAUGAAUAACAACUUAGGCCAUCCAUAAUCAAUUUAGUUGUGGCUGCUAUCAUUACUAAACUUAUUAGUGUAAUUGCUUCAGAAUUUCAAUCAAGAGAUUCAUUAAGUGAUGAAACAUUAAUCUUUAGUCAUGAUACAUGGUUUGUUGGCAUUAGGGCUACAGAUCACAUCACAUGUUCUGUGAAUGUUUUUACAUAGUUUAAAGAAGUACACAACUUGUUUGUACAAAUGCCAAACAAUAAUAGGGCUUUAGUUACUCAUAUUGGCAUUGUAAAACUAUCACAGUCAUUAGUUCUCACAAAUGUUCUUUGUGUUCCAUCUUUUUCAUUUAAUCUCAUAUUUGUUGGGAUUUUUAUUUGACAAAAUCUAAGCAACUUUGUUUAAUCUUUGAUAAUUCACAAUGUGUUAUUUAGGACCUUCAUUUAUGGAUAAUGAUUGGGCAUUUAAACUCCUAUCAAGCCUAUAUGUCAUACAGAGAGACUUGGAUGCACAAGCUUAACUUCUUUUGCUUCUACAAAAAUCUAUGAUUGUUUUGCCCUUGAUGGUUUAAUCGAGUUUUCUAGUUUUUCCUUUGUAAACAAUUGUAAUGCCAAGCCAAAAGAAUUUGAUUUGUGGCAUUUUCAACUAUGAAAUGUUCCUUUGAACAAAAUCAAACAAAUUAAUAGUUUUUGUAGAAUUUAUCUUUUAACAAGGCAAAAAAGGUUUUCUUUUCCUAUUUAUGUAAAAACUACCAUUUCUCCUUUUGAAAUAAUACACAUGGAUAUUUAGGGCCCCUAUUCUACUACAACCAUUUUUGGUUAUUAUUAUUUUUUGAAUGUUCUGGAUGAUUUUAGCAAAUUUACUUAGGUGUUUUUAAUGAGACAUAAAUCAAAUGUUUUGAUUAUUGUUUCUAUUGUUUGCAAUAUGGUCAUGAAUCAUUUUAAUUCUUCUGUCAAAACCAUUCGAUCUAACAAUGGCCUUGAGUUUAAAUUGACUUAAUACUAUUCUUUAGAAAGGAUUGUGCACCAAUUUUCAUGAGUAGACACUCCCCAGCAGAAUGGUGUUAUUGAAAGGAAGCAUCAAUACCUUCUGGUAGUAGCCUGAGCAUUAUUAUUUCAAGCUUCCUUACAUUUGAAGUUUUAAGGUGAUUUAAUCUUAAAUAUCACCCAUAUCAUUAAUAGGAUUCCAUCUCUUGUCAUAUCAAAUAAAACACCAUUUGAAGUAUUGUUUUUGCAAACUGUUUCCUUACAAUCCGUUGCUAUGUGUAAUGUGGUAAAUUUUAAGAGUUGUCACCAAUCUUUUUAUAAGGUGCGAUUAGCCACCUACAAAAUUUGUUCUAUUCGACAAGGUUCUAAAUUGAUUUUAGGUUCAUCUAAAGAACCAAAAAACUUGGUCUAUGAAUUUUAGAAUUAAAUUUAAGAAUACUGUUACGCACAGGGAAUGAUUAAUAUCCCCGUGAUGCCCGUUCCAUGAAUGGUACUAUUUAACCAUAUGUUAUCCUAUUUUAACCCCAACUUUUGAUUUUAUUCUUAUAUAUAUUUCCUUAAUCAUUACUCUUUUUUUGUUUUUUAUUCCUAUUUUAUUUAAUUUAACUAUGAAUGAUAAUCUUUUUAUUGAAGAUAUUUCCCAAGUCUUCCCAUUUUUCUAGUAAGAUACAAGAAUAGCUUCUUACUUAAAGCGUUUUUCGAGAAACUUAUCUUUUUAAAUUUCCUAGAAAAAAUCUCAUCAUUGGGAUUAUCAUUCGAACUUUAUUUCAAGGAUAAGAAUAUGCAUGAUGAGUAUGAAAUGCAAGGAUGAUGAAUGUUAUGAAUUUCAAAUUAUUAUAUACAAAUUAUGAUCGUUUAUUAAAGGCAUUUUUUAGGUCUUCCCAUCAUUUUGGUAAAACUCAGGAAUGCACUUUCACCUAGAGAAUACCUCAAGAAGCUUAUUUUUACAAACUUCACAAAGAAAUCUCAUCAUCGGACCAAUGUUUGUAUGUUAGUGUACGUGUGUCUAUGGAAUGCAAAUUCAUAAUUGAUUAUUACAAUUGACAACCUUAUAUCGAAGCCCUUUUCCAGAUUCUCCUAUCAUUCUGGUAAAAUUCGAGAAUGUCAUCUCACUUAGAGAAUUCCUCAAGGAAACUUAUCCUUACAAGCUUACAGAGAAAUCUCAUCAUUGAGAUUGACAAUUGUAAACGAGAUAUGUGUCACACAAUAAAAUGCAAGUUUCAAAUUAUUAAAUGCGAAUCAAAGUUCUUUAGUUGAAAAUAUUUUCCGAAUAUUCCCAUUGUUCCAGUAAAAUCCAGGAACGAAACCUCACCUAGAGAAUUUCUCAAGGAAGUUUAUCCUUACAAACUUCCUGAGAAAAUGUAGACACUAGCUUAUUGAUUUCUUUUUUCUCACAUUUGAAUUAUUAUUCUUAUUCUUUUGCUAAAGCUUAAGUUUAGAAGUCUGUUUUUUAAGUCCAUCUGCUUUGAUGCUAUUGAGGCCCCUUUGGAUCUUGUUAAUUACAGGCCCUCAAGUUUAAAUGAGCCAAAAAAAAAAUAAACAACUUUUAUUAGGUUGAUUACAUUAAAAAGGGAUCAAAACCUGAAUUAAAAGGGAUUAAUCACCCUAAGUCAAAAAUUAGUGAAAAGGUUCUAGAAAAAACAAGAAUGACAUAGGGAAAUUGGUCAAUUGGCCAAAAAUAAAAAAAAGACAAAAAAUGAAAAAUGUACAAGGCCUUUACUAGGAGUGCCUUAAGACCUGAGUAGAGGCCACCUAAUUCACCACUAGCUAUGGAAUGCAUCCAACGACUGGCAGAGAAAGAACUCAGGGAAAUUUCUAAACCCUUGGCUCGGAUAAAAGGAAAAAAAAGGCGAUUCUAAAGAGAGGAGAAAAAACCCUAAGAUCUCUCUUUCAAGAGUUGUAAUACACAUGGAAACCCUUUUGUAAAGAAAAACCCUAGAAAAAAAAUAAAAAACCUUAGCAUCUUUGUUAACUUAAAAAAAGACCAUAAGAACCAAACAAAAUAAAAAGUGUGAGAAUGGGAGCUUUAGAAAAGAGGGAAGUUUAGAGAUUUGAUUUUCAAUGAGUUUUCAGAUUAGUAAAAAGUUUUUUUUUAUAUAUAAAAAGGUGAGAAGAAAGACAAACAACCUAAAGGCUUUCUUGUGAAAGCGGAGUUUUUGGGUCAUAGUAAAAGGGUGAAAGAGCGAUGAGCGUUGAAGGUUCUUUAGAGGGUAGAGGCAUUGGAUUUCAACAUAUUUGUAGGCAAUGAAGGCAAGAAUUUUGAGAGUGGGUUGAUAAUUCUAUUUUAUAGAAUUAUUUUAGUCCAAUUUUGUUAUUAAAUAUUAGCUAAGUCCUUAAUUUUUAAUUAUAAUUUAGUUAUUUUUAGUUAUUUUUAUAAUUAGUUUAUUUUUAUUAAGUUAUUUUAAUUUUAUGUUUAUUUCCUUUAAUUUGGUUAUUAUUUAUUAGUUUUUAUGUUUUUGUAGGAUUUAAAGGAAUUUGGCUUAAUUUUGAAAAGUAAGGUGUUUCAAGGACCCGAAACUUUGCUUGUAGAUGCUUCGGUUUUUUGCCAUAACUCCUGAUACAGAGCUCCAAAUGAUGCAAUUCUUAUGCCAUUAGAAAGUUAAGAGACAGAGCUACAACUUACAUGAAGAUCACUUUGCCCAGUUAUACUUUGAGUAUAGAGAAAAUUGAAUCGAAAAAUGACAAGGUGUACUACUACGGGAAUGACAAUCUUAAUGCUGACAAUUGUUGUUUGGGCCUCAUUACACUUUUACGCCCAAUAAUUAGAAUUAGUAGGUAAACUUAGGGACUUAAGUUGAUAUUAUUAGUAUAAAUAGGAUAUUUUAAGAGAACCUUAAGAGAUUCAAUAAGCUAAAAGUUGAUGCUAAAGCUUGGAGAUCAAGGUUGCAAAUAUUUGUUUUGUUUUCUUCCUUAUCUUUUUUUUUCUUUUGUUACUCUUAAUGGUUAAACUUCACAUAUUUUUACUUAUCUUUGCAAUUAUGAGUAGAUCAUUUUAUUUUUUUAGGAUUGCAAUUGAACUCAUAUGUAAUCUAAAUUUUUAAUCUAUUAAUUGCUUAUCUUUAAUGAGAAUUGAAUUGUUUAUUGCAAUUUGUUCUUAAUACUUUUAAUUUUCUUAUCACCAAUUAAAUUGAUUUAGGAACCUAAACAAACUUGGGAAAGGGAGUUUAGUGUAGACUAAAAUUGAGAUAGCAUAUAAUCAUGUUAAUUGAUUUGCGUAUAGGAUAGAGAUAUACCUAUAGGCCAUAUGUAGUUAGAUUAGAACCUGAACUUAAUGAAUCUAAUUUAAUUUCAAUUCACAUAGGGAUAUAGUGUCUUGGUUAAAAUAGAUAUUUUUAUAAGAUGUGUCACGACCCAGUACUCUCUUCGAGUCUGUGACAACCGCCGUGAUGUUCCGAUAGACAUUCACUACCCAAAAUGCCAACCAAAACCCCACAAGGCUUUAAUAUCAGUUUUCGCACCUCCCCUGUGAGCAACAGUUGUUAAGUAUCAUGUUUUGAGAGAUUAUAAACUAUUUCCAAAUCAAAACAAUAGAAAAAUAAUUUUUUGCUCACAAGGGCAUUUUGGUCAUUUUUCCUCAAAAAUCUCGAAACCAGCUAAAAAUGUAGUAUGCGAGUGAAAAACACAUAUUUCAUAAUAAAAAAUAAGUUUAGAUGUCUAAAACAUUCAUUUAAAGUGAAAUUAUAACUAUUUGAAUAUAAUAAAAAUAUUCAAUAAAACAUUUUAUUUUCUUAUAAAACAAUAUUUAUAGAGUUACCAGUAAAUAAUUUUUGUAGCGUAAAAGCUAAAUAAAUUCAAACAUACUGUAAUAUAGAUAACCAAAGUAUAAAAUUUAAUUUACAGUGACACGUGGGCCCACGAACGACCAAAAGCAUCAAAAGCGGUAAACCUAUAGUUUUUGAGGAUGCAAGUCCAACUGUAGCCCUCAACAAAGUGAGCUAUCUACAAACUAUCCUGAGCUUGAAAUUGGUGGAAAGGAGGGUGGUGAGAUUAUAUAAUCCCAGUGAGUAAACAAAUACCAUCUAAAAUAUCUAAAGCUGAGUAAAUGGAGACAGAUAAAAUAGUUUAACAUACUAUAAUUCAUCACCUUUCAACUCAUUUCAACCAAAUUAAAUCAAUUCAUAUAAAUCGAGUAAUCAACAUGGCUUAUGAAUUUCUUAAAACUUUGGCUCGUGCCAAAAUCAUUCUCAUACUCAGUUAUCAGCGAUACCUUGACCGAGGGCUAUCCCAACCGAGUCCGCCAAGACUAUUAAAAAGUCAUGUACGUAUAAAUCAUGUUUUUAUUUUGAAAACAUAGCCUUUCCUUGGGGUUGGCUGAGUCCACCCUCACGUGGUGGUUUGGCGUGAAGUGAACUCUAAAGUUGUACCUCAGGAGUUACCCUACACGCCUCUCCGACCGAGGUAAGAAUAUAACGGGGUUACCGUACCCCUCUAUCAGGCUAGUCCACGAAACCUGCCCACUGUAGCAAGCUAAACCCACCAAUUCAAUAAAAUCUCAACCGCAUGACAUGACAAUUAUAUCACAAUCCAGCCUCUCAAGGCUAAAUACACAAUUCAUAUAUUUCAACACAAAUACCAAUUCAGCCAUUCAUGCAAAUAUUGUCAUAAGUCAUUCGAUUCAAACCAUGAAUUUACAACACAUGAAAACAAUCUCCAAUUACUCUAUUUUCAAACCAUCAUUUCAUUUCAAGACAAUGUUAUAAAAUAAUUUCAUUAAAUCACAUUUUGUUUAUAAAACCUAAAGAUUUACCAUUUAAACACAUUUUUUCUAUAAAAUCACAAAAAUGAAUAAAAACUACUUUAAAUAAUUAAGACGAUAGUAAGGUUACUCACUAUUUCGGGAGUCGAAUUUCGAGUACUCCGAUUCUUGAUCCUCGGGUACUAUCUCUUUUCUUUUCCUAGAAUGCUUACCACCUAGACAUAAUGCACAAUAAGCCAUUUACUACAUUUGUGCUAAAUUGUUAUAAAACCAAUUCAGGCUCUAUACUAAUGCAUGAAAUGGGAUGUAAAUUGUUCAGGUAACUAUCUAAAUACGGUGUUCAAUAUAAAUUCAAUUAUGUACCUAAAUAAAACAAUAUUGGCCUAAUUCGAUCUAUCACUCGAUUAAUUGGCCAAUACGUCAAAUUCGACUCCAAAUAAUUCCAUUUUCCUCCCAAUACUCCAAAUCAUCAAACACAAAUUAAAUAGCUUGAAAUAUGGCAAAAUCAUCCUCACAUUUUCUCUUGGAAAAUUCGGCCAUGGUGGGUGCAUCAACACUAUAAUUUUUUAAGCUUGAUUCUCACACCAUAAAUCACUAAUUCCUAACCAAAUCACUUGAAAUAAAAUGAAAAUCAUCAUCAAUAUUCCACAUGGAGAAUUCGGCCAAUGAUGGGUGAUGGAAGAACAUGAAUUUUUCUUGCUUGAUUUUCAUGCUACACAUCACCAAUCAACUAAAAACACUAAAAUACAUUGAAAUCUAACCAUAUCAAGCAUCAAAACCUUUCUCUAAGUGUUCAGCCAGCAAGAUACCCAUCAUGAAAUCAUGUGAUUCAACCAUGAAAAAUGCAAAAGAAUGUAUGGGAAAGGUAGAUCAUAAGUCAAAAUUAAGAAAUUUUACUUUUGAUUACUUGAUUCCUUGAAAUCCACCAAAUUUUCUCUUGAAUUUUCACCCUAGGAUUCUUGUUCUUUCUUUUCUUCCUUUGUUCUUGCUUUGUUUGGCCAUAUGAAGAGAAA